rnacentral:rRNA from 1 species
CGUUAGUUGCUAACGCGUGAAGGCGAGCACUCUAGACGAACUGCCGUUGACAAAACGGAGGAAGGUGGGGAUGACGUCAAAUCAUCAUGCCCCUUAUGUUCUGGGCUACACACGUGCUACAAUGGCCGGUACAGACGGACGCAAAGCCGCGAGGCGGAGCAAAUCCGAAAAAGCCGGUCUCAGUUCGGAUUGCAGGCUGCAAUUCGCCUGCAUGAAGUCGGAAUCGCUAGUAAUCGCAGGUCAGCAUACUGCGGUGAAUACGUUCCCGGGCCUU